rnacentral:tRNA from 1 species
GCAUCGGUGGUUCAGUCGUAGAAUGCUCGCCUGCCACGCGGGCGGCCAGGGUUCGAUUCACGGCCGAUGCA